UGCUUAAGCAGCCAAAGCCAAGAGGCUUCGGCACCGGGGGUCUGCGCUGGAGGGGCUCCUGGUCCUGCCCACGCUGGGGGGUAAAUCAGAGGGAUGCGGGGUUCCUCUUUUCCCCUCUGCUGGGAUGAACUGCCUGGGGAACGCCAUUUCUGCCAGCCCGGUCCUGCCCGUGUCUGCUGGAGAAGGCAAGAGGUCAGCAGGAAGAAGAGGAAAUGUGGUGCCAGACCUGUCUCAUCAGCUUGUGCUUCCCUCUGAGGACAGAGAGUCUCUGGGCAAGUGAGCCGGGGCUGGCACAAGGACUCGUGCAGGUACUGACCUGGCACCGGAGCCAUUGCCCUU